AGAGUUUGAUCCUGGCUCAGAUUGAACGCUGGCGGCAUGCCUAACACAUGCAAGUCGAACGGAAACGAUGGAAACUUGCUUCCAGGCGUCGAGUGGCGGACGGGUGAGUAACGCGUAGGAAUCUGCCUAGUAGUGGGGGACAACCUGGGGAAACCCAGGCUAAUACCGCAUAAUAUCUACGGAUGAAAGUGGAGGAUCUUCGGACUUCACGCUAUUAGAGGAGCCUGCGUUAGAUUAGCUUGUUGGUGGGGUAAAGGCCUACCAAGGCGACGAUCAGUAGCCGACCUGAGAGGGUGAUCGGCCACACUGGAACUGAGACACGGUCCAGACUCCUACGGGAGGCAGCAGUGGGGAAUAUUGCACAAUGGGCGCAAGCCUGAUGCAGCAACGCCGCGUGAGUGAUGAAGGUUUUCGGAUCGUAAAACUCUUUUCUUAGGGAAGAAGAAGUGACGGUACCUAAGAAUAAGACCGCUAACU
rnacentral:rRNA from 1 species